rnacentral:lncRNA from 1 species
AAAGGAGGUGGUAGCUCCCUCAACAACUGGGAACGGUACACUUGGUUGCUCACAGUCUAUCGUAGUUAGCUACUGUUUCCUGCUUCACCUUCUCAUUUCUAGCUACUUCCUGGUAUAGGUACAUGGCAUUGGCAAGGAUGUUACCCAGCAUGCAUGGCUGAAAGUCUCAGCUUUCUGCAAUGCACUUUUUGUUCAUAUGCUUUCAAAGUCGAGUCAUUUUGGCUGAUGCAAGUAAAACCCACGUACGUUAAGUUUGGAUUUGGGACUCUUAGGGGUAGGGAUUUUGUUUACUGCUGUUUCAUUGAGGGAUGGAUUUGUUGAUAGAAAGUUUUUUUUUGGAACGUGAUACCUCUCGAUAGCAAACCAUCAUAAGCUAACAAAUCAU